UACUCCUACGGGAGGCAGCAGUGGGGAAUAUUGCACAAUGGGCGCAAGCCUGAUGCAGCCAUGCCGCGUGUGUGAAGAAGGCCUUCGGGUUGUAAAGCACUUUCAGCGGGGAGGAAGGCGGUGAGGUUAAUAACCUUUGUCGAUGACGUGACCCGC
rnacentral:rRNA from 1 species